GACGAACGCUGGCGGCGUGCCUAAUACAUGCAAGUCGAACGGAAAGGCGCUGCUUUUGUUGGUCUCUCGUGUGGCGCACGGGUGAGUAUCACGUGUGUAUCCUGCCCUUGACUUUGGGAGAUCUCCAGUGAACUGGGGCUCUUAUCGCGUAGGAGCUCCUGCUGCAUGUUGGGGGUUGGUGAGUUUCGGCGGUUGGGGAUGGACUGGCGGCUUAUCAGCUUGUUGGUGGGGUAGUGGCGUACCAGGGCUUUGACGGGUAGCCGGCCUGAGAGGGUGACCGGCCACAUUGGGACUGAGAGACGGCCCAGACUGCAACGGGAGGCAGCAGGGGAGAAUAUUGCACAAUGGGCGGAAGCCUGAUGCAGCAACGCCGCGUGCGGGAUGACGGCCUUCGGGUUGUAAACCGCUUUCGCCUGUGACGAAGCGUGAGUGACGGUAAUGGAUAAAGAAGCAACGGCUAACUACGUG
rnacentral:rRNA from 1 species